CAGCAGAAGAAGCGUUGUUAUGGUGAAACUGAACUGAGAAUAAACUUCUCUUCUUUCGGGUAAUGUUGAAUAUAAAUAUUGAAGUUUUUGUCCUGUGUUGUGAAGGUUUUGAUUGGCUAUCAUUACUGUAUAAAUAAUCAGGAGAUAAUCACUUACACACAGAUCUGUUGUAGAUGUUUAAUCCAGACUCGUUUCACAUGUUGUUUUAUUGUGUUUAUAAAAUGAGGGGUUUAUUAAAUUAUAAAUGAAAGAUGCUUUAGUACUGUGAGGGUUUUGGUUGGUUACACGCUGAGGUUCAUGGGACGUGUAGUUUAUUUUUAGGUUGUUGUUUUAAUUCAGUGUAUUUUUAUUUUUAUGUAUGGAUGAUUAGUGGGCGGGGCUUAACCACAGUCAAGAAACACUCACACACUGCAGAUGAUGGAUUUAUAAUUAAAAACGUCAAUGAAAAAUCAUAGAUUUAUAGAAACACUUUUAAAUUGUGAGAGAGAGAUAGAGUGUGAGUGAGUGACUGUGUGUCAGUCUGUGUCUGUCUGUCUGUCUGUCUGUGUGUGUGUGUUGGUUAAUACCUGGGAUUUAAUCACGACUUUCUGAUCUUUCCUGCUGUAAUGUCUGCCAUCUCUCCAUCAGUUAAGCGGUGGAGAGCACGAUGGAGGAGGAGUGUGUGGGCGGAGGAGGAGAAGCUCUCCUGCAGCUCCACCUGCUCUGUGAUCCUCCAUCUUCCUGCACAGUGUCCGUCUGGACCGAUCUGUCCAUGGCCGACAUCUCGCACCUCCACGCUGAAGUGUGUGAGCUCAGAGAGCUGGUGUCUGCGCUGGAGGAAUCGUUACGGCGACAAAAAGCCAUAAACACUCGUCAGGAGGUGCCGGGAGCUUCACCAGCGCUGUGCUCUAUGUGUAAAUCUGAUCUCAACACAGCAGAAGUGCGAGACUCGGCACAGAGUGUGUGUGGUGAGCGCGAGGAGUCCGAUGUAGACUGCGCACCACACACUCCUCUGACCAUGUGCUCGGUGAAGCUGGUGGACUGUAGGACCGUGGAGCCGAUCCCGCCCGUCACGAAUAAUGAGAAGGAGGAGGACGGGGAACCGAGCGCUAACGACGAGGACGUAAUUCCCCACACUGACAGCGACGAUGGAAAUUGGUCGCCUUCGUCAGAAAGAAAACAACUGCGUGUUAACAAACUCAAACCCCAAACGAGGAAAGACGCGGGACCCGGGACGAGCUGUAAGGACCGGGUUUCUGAAGUGAACGGAGACGUUAAGGAGACGCCUACGGAGGCCGAGGAACCGAAGAGCGACUGCGGUGUUCAAGAGAGACUGUUCAAGUGCUCGCAGUGCAACAAAAGCUACGGUACGGCGCCAAGCCUGCGGAACCACAUGAAGAGACACGCGAAGGAGCUGAGGUUCUGCUGUGACGAGUGCGGGAAGGGGUUCGUGACGUCGGCCGAGCUGAAGCUGCACACGAGUCGACACACGGGUGUCAGCGGCUUCGUGUGCGAGGUGUGCGGACAAAACCUGGCCGGCUCGUCAGGCCUCAAAGCACACAUGCUGACGCACAGCGACGAGAGACCGUUCUCCUGCCGGGAGUGCGGAAAGAUGUUCCGGACGAAGGGGAACCUCAAGGCGCACCUGAGGACGCACACCGGGGAGAAACCGUACCGCUGCUCGUACUGCGAGCGCACGUUCAGCCACGCGCCACGCGUCAAGGUUCAUGAGCGCUCGCACACCAACGAGAAGCCGUUCAAAUGCCAAACCUGCGGGAAGACCUUCUCACGCCUGGACAGUCUCCGGUCGCACGAGAGCGUCCACACCGGCCUGAAGCCGUACCAGUGCUCGCACUGCGGGAAGAGCUUCCGACAAGCCAGCCACCUGCUCUGUCACGAGAGGACACACACCGGAGAGCGGCCGUACCUGUGCUCCGACUGCGGGAAGAGCUUCUCCAGCCACGGGCACUUCCGCAGCCACCGGCGCAUCCACACUGGCGAGCGGCCCUACCAGUGCACGGCGUGUGGAAAGAGCUUCAGGAAGCAGUUCACCCUGCACCAGCACAGCAAGACGCACACCGGAGAGCGACCGUACAAGUGCACGCAGUGCGACAAGAGCUUCGCCCGGACGUGCACGCUGAAGCAGCACCAGAGAAUGCACUCGGGGGAAAAGCCGUACCAGUGUGCCAUCUGCGGAGAGAAAUUCGCCUUCCUUAGCUCGCUACACCAACACCGGAAAAAACACGGCCAAGACGCCGUAAACACGCGGUCCCACGCUGCAGGGAUCGCCUCAGGAACUUCACAGGAAACGCCGACAGCCUGUAGCCCGACAGGAAAUUAGGUGGGGAAAGGUUUGGGGCGGCCAUUUUAUGGUGACGGUUGUUAGUUUGAAGGCUGUGCAGGCGGCUCAGAGCCAUUCAGUGCAAUACGGAACUCAUUACAGCUCUACAAUCAUCCAGGCAGAAGAGUUUUUACAAGAAACCUUAAAUGUGCAUUCAGCGCCUGGAAUGUGAAGGAACAGAUCCCCAGAUGCUUCGCCACAUCCACUCGGUGAACUGUUCAAGCAACAGUUCUAUAUAUAAAGCAGCACUAUACCUCUGAACACCUGAACACCUCAAAACCGUGACAUUUAAAUGUUGAUUUCUUAUUUCAGACAAAUUCAGACUUUUCCCCGCAUGAGGUCCUCUUCCCAGUUAGCAGAACUUGUAGCAGGAACUCGAACCACUGCAACGUUUUCAUCAUUGUUGACCGAUAUUUUGUUGCAUCUCUGAGAAAUCUAUCUAACAGAUGCUAACUAUAAACAGGUUACAUGUUAUCUCAGUCAAAGAUACUAACAUCAAAGAUAGAUUUUCGUUAUUUAUUUACGACACUAAAGGAUGUUUUUUGGCGUAUUUUUGGUUUCCAGCAUAUUAUAGUGUUUAACAAGAGCUUGUACACAAAAUAUAUCAAGGUUGCAAGGUUAGAUAGCAUCUUUUCCAUCUCACCCCUCAUCUGUGCCAUGCCUGAGUGUUUCUCAGUACUACUACAUAGAACUGAUUUGGGGGCGGGUUUACAUAUGGACUGGUUUGUGAUGUCAUUAAGUAAGUACCAGGGACUUGGAAUAAUACUAAUAUCUGAGAUUUGAGGAUGACAACAAAUCCUCACUAGCUUGUCGAGUGUUAGUGAUGAACAAAAUAACUUUGGUUGUCAUGGUAACUCUGUGAUGGCUCGGCACCGCAUCCAGGGCGUCCCC